rnacentral:rRNA from 1 species
UCGGUGAAAACUUUUUAACAGCUGCGGUAUUUUAACUGUACUAAGGUAGCAUAAUAAUUUGCCUUAUAAUUUGAGGCUAGAAUGAAUGGUUUGACGAAGGUUAAUCUGUCUCCACUUUAUUUUUUAGAAAUUAAUUUUCAUAGUGAAAAAGCUUGAAUUUUUUAAGGGGACGAGAAGACCCUACUGAGCUUAUAAUUUUAUUAAAAACAUAUAUUUAUAUAUAUUGUGUUAUAUAAAUUUUAAUUGGGGUGAUUAAGGAAUAAUGUGAUUAUAAUAUAACUUCCUUAGAAUAAUAUAUUGUUGAAUUAAGUAACCGAUUAAUUAAUAUAGUUGUUAUAUAUUGCUUAUAAUAUAGUUACCAUAGGGAUAACAGCGUAAUUUACUUAGAGAGUUCUUAUUGAAAAGUAAGAUUGCGACCUCGAUGUUGGAUUAAAGUAACCUUAAGGUGCAGAAGCUUUAUGGGGUAAAUCUGUUCGAUUUU